GGCUAUGUAGCUCAGUUGGUUAGAGCACCGCACUCAUAAUGCGGGGGUCACAGGUUCCAAGUCCCGUCAUAGCCA
rnacentral:tRNA from 1 species